UGACGAUGGAUCACCAGUGAGUGGCGGACGGGUGAGUAACACGUAGGUAACCUGCCCCGGAGCGGGGGAUAACAUUUGGAAACAGAUGCUAAUACCGCAUAACAACAAAAGCCACAUGGCUUUUGUUUGAAAGAUGGCUUUGGCUAUCACUCUGGGAUGGACCUGCGGUGCAUUAGCUAGUUGGUAAGGUAACGGCUUACCAAGGCGAUGAUGCAUAGCCGAGUUGAGAGACUGAUCGGCCACAAUGGAACUGAGACACGGUCCAUACUCCUACGGGAGGCAGCAGUAGGGAAUCUUCCACAAUGGGCGCAAGCCUGAUGGAGCAACACCGCGUGAGUGAAGAAGGGUUUCGGCUCGUAAAGCUCUGUUGUUGGAGAAGAACGUGCGUGAGAGUAACUGUUCACGCAGUGACGGUAUCCAACCAGAAAGUCACGGCUAACUACGUGCCAGCAGCCGCGGUAAUACGUAGGUGGCAAGCGUUAUCCGGAUUUAUUGGGCGUAAAGCGAGCGCAGGCGGUUGCUUAGGUCUGAUGUGAAAGCCUUCGGCUUAACCGAAGAAGUGCAUCGGAAACCGGGCGACUUGAGUGCAGAAGAGGACAGUGGAACUCCAUGUGUAGCGGUGGAAUGCGUAGAUAUAUGGAAGAACACCAGUGGCGAAGGCGGCUGUCUGGUCUGCAACUGACGCUGAGGCUCGAAAGCAUGGGUUAGCGAACAGGAUUUAGAUACCC
rnacentral:rRNA from 1 species